rnacentral:rRNA from 1 species
AGAGUUUGAUCCUGGCUCAGGACGAACGCUGGCGGCGUGCCUAACACAUGCAAGUCGAACGGAACUGUUUUGAAAGAUUUCUUCGGAAUGAAUUUGAUUUAGUUUAGUGGCGGACGGGUGAGUAACGCGUGAGUAACCUGCCUUCAAGAGGGGGAUAACAUUCUGAAAAGAAUGCUAAUACCGCAUGACAUAUCGGAACCACAUGGUUUUGAUAUCAAAGAUUUUAUCGCUUGAAGAUGGACUCGCGUCCGAUUAGUUAGUUGGUGAGGUAACGGCUCACCAAGACCGCGAUCGGUAGCCGGACUGAGAGGUUGAACGGCCACAUUGGGACUGAGACACGGCCCAGACUCCUACGGGAGGCAGCAGUGGGGGAUAUUGCGCAAUGGGGGCAACCCUGACGCAGCAACGCCGCGUGAAGGAUGAAGGUUUUCGGAUUGUAAACUUCUUUUAUUAAGGACGAAAAUUGACGGUACUUAAUGAAUAAGCUCCGGCUAACUACGUGCCAGCAGCCGCGGUAAUACGUAGGGAGCAAGCGUUGUCCGGAUUUACUGGGUGUAAAGGGUGCGUAGGCGGCUUUGCAAGUCAGAUGUGAAAUCUAUGGGCUCAACCCAUAAACUGCAUUUGAAACUGUAGAGCUUGAGUGAAGUAGAGGCAGGCGGAAUUCCCCGUGUAGCGGUGAAAUGCGUAGAGAUGGGGAGGAACACCAGUGGCGAAGGCGGCUCUCUGGACUGUAACUGACACUGAGGCACGAAAGCGUGGAGAGCAAACAGGAUUAGAUACCCUGGUAGU